AUCUCUUUUGCUAUUUUUUAGUAUUGGAGAUUUUGUUACUUUGAGUAAAUUAGAGUGUUCAAAGCAAACAGUUAAAGCAUUUUACUGCGUUUGAAUACUACAGCAUGGAAUAACAAAAUUGAACAAGUCAGAAUUCUGUUCUUUUUUCUUAUUUUGGCUUAGUUACGAUUAAUAGGAGUAGCUUGGGGGCAUUUGUAUUCAGAUGUCAGAGGUGAAAUUCUUAGAUUUUCUGGAGACAAACAACUGCGAAAGCAUUUGUCUAAAAUACUUCCAUUAAUCAAGAACGAAAGUUAAGGGAGUGAAGACGAUCAGAUACCGUCGUAAUCUUAACCAUAAACUAUGCCGACUAGGUUUUGGAUGAAACAUUUUUAAAUAAGAAAAUUCCUUUCGGGGAAAUUUCUUAGAUUGCUUCUUUCAGUACCUUAUGAGAAAUCAAAGUCUUUGGGUUCUGGGGCGAGUAUUCGCGCAAGCGAGAAAGUUAAAAGAAUUGACGGAAGGGCACCACCAGGCGUGGAGCUUGCGGCUUAAUUUGACUCAACACGGGGAAACUCACUAGUUUAAGACAAGAGUAGGAUUGACAGAUUAAUAGCUCUUUCUUGAUUUCUUGGAUGGUGAUGCAUGGCCGUUUUUAGUUCGUGAAUAUGAUUUGUCUGGUUAAUUCCGAUAACGAACGAGAUCUUAACCUGCUAAUUAGCGGCGAAUACGUCAUAUUCUUAUGCGAAAUUGAAUAUAGCUGAAUUUGCUUAUUUUAAAGAAUACAUUAGGAUACAAUUAAUGUGUCCUUUUCC
rnacentral:rRNA from 1 species